rnacentral:rRNA from 1 species
UACGUAGGGUGCAAGCGUUGUCCGGAAUUAUUGGGCGUAAAGAGCUCGUAGGCGGUUUGUCGCGUCUGCUGUGAAAACUCGGGGCUUAACCCCGGGCCUGCAGUGGGUACGGGCAGACUAGAGUGCGGUAGGGGAGACUGGAAUUCCUGGUGUAGCGGUGAAAUGCGUAGAUAUCUGGAGGAAUACCGGUGGCGAAGGCGGCAUCCUGGACCGACAUUGACGCUGAGGAGCGAAAGCUAGGGGAGCAAACGGG